rnacentral:rRNA from 1 species
GACGAACGCUGGCGGAAUGCUUUACACAUGCAAGUCGAACGGCAGCACGGGGCAACCUGGUGGCGAGUGGCGAACGGGUGAGUAAUACAUCGGAACGUGCCCAGUCGUGGGGGAUAACGUAGCGAAAGCUACGCUAAUACCGCAUACGAUCUAUGGAUGAAAGCGGGGGACCGUAAGGCCUCGCGCGAUUGGAGCGGCCGAUGGCAGAUUAGGUAGUUGGUGGGGUAAAGGCUCACCAAGCCUGCGAUCUGUAGCUGGUCUGAGAGGACGACCAGCCACACUGGGACUGAGACACGGCCCAGACUCCUACGGGAGGCAGCAGUGGGGAAUUUUGGACAAUGGGCGCAAGCCUGAUCCAGCCAUUCCGCGUGCAGGAUGAAGGCCUUCGGGUUGUAAACUGCUUUUGUACGGAACGAAAAGCCUUUUUCUAAUACAAGAAGGUCAUGACGGUACCGUAAGAAUAAGCACCGGCUAACUACGUGCCAGCAGCCGCCGCAG